rnacentral:misc_RNA from 1 species
GAUGAAGAACGCAGCGAAAUGCGAUAAGUAAUGUGAAUUGCAGAAUUUAGUGAAUCAUCGAAUAUUUGAACGCACAUUGCGCCCCCUGGUAUUCCGGGGGGCAUGCCUGUCCGAGCGUCAUUACAACCCUCAAGCUCAGCUUGGUGUUGGGCCCCGCCGCCCCGGCGGGCCCUAAAGUCAGUGGCGGUGCCGUCCGGCUCCGAGCGUAGUAAUUCUUCUCGCUCUGGAGGUCCGGUCGUGUGCUCGCCAGCAACCCCCAAUUUUUUUCAGGUUGACCUCGGAUCAGGUAGGGAUACCCGCUGAACUUAAGCAUAUCAAUAAGCGGAGGA